UUCCGGUGUCCUUACUUCCUGUUCCUCGUGUAUAUAAUGCCGGGAUCACGUUGUGACGGUUAUUUCGGACGAGGAUCAGUGAAGGUACGAAUAGUUUCUUACACUUGCACAAUCUGAAAAUUCAGAACCAUGGCUAGUAAAAGGAAGACAAGACCGGCCACUUCCACUCACAUGUGUAACUUCUUUGGAACUGGUUGAGAAAUGCUGCCACCUGAACUCCCAACUCUGGGUGAUGUUCUAAGAUAUAGCCUUCUGCUAAGGGCGCAAAGUGGAGAGAAUGUCAAAUUACCCAGCAGCCACUCUUGCAAAGGAUAUUUAUCCAAAAGUGCUUGAAAAGUGGGAGCUAGCAAACUGUUUUGUGGUGCCAAUUUUAAAUUCGAGUCAGUCCUGAAGAAAACUGGGAAAAGGCCAAAAACAUCACUUGGCAGAGGCAAACUAAGUGGCUUUCAUGGCAAUGUUAGACAUCCUCAAUUGCAAGUGAGAUUAAGCUAUGUUCAGAAUUUGAGGGUCCAUGUCGUGCUGACUGUUAACAUGAAGUGCACAUCUCCUGCUCUUGUUCUAAGGACAUGAAGAUCCCUGUCAAAGAACUACUCUUUAUUAAUGGUCAGAGAAGUUUGUGUUUGUUGGACAUCAUAAAAUUGGAUUACCAGAUCUAUCUAAGCACAGAAGACAAAUCAAAAAGCAGAAGAGGAAAGAAGAUGAAGUAAACAUUUCUGAAUAUAAGCAGAAAUGAGUUUGUUCAAGAGGUGAUCUGGAUAAAGGUUGGUGUGAUGGUGGCUUUUAAAAGGAUAUGAAUGGUAGCUGGUCUGAAGGUGACGCUGAGGCCUUAUUGUAUGUGUUGAUGGAUAUGGCUGAGAUUAACAUGUGAGACGAGAACAGAUUGUGCUGUGGAUGUCAGUGCUUGGCACCCCAACAGGCUGCCCAUUCAUCAUGGCUAUUUGGAAGGUGCUGGCCAGAUUUCCAUCCCAGGCUGUUACAAAUUUGCAGAAUACCGUUCAAUAAUUAAGUAAACUUAAGAUGGUGCGCCCAUUAAUCAAUGUGAACCUUACGGCUUUCCAAGUAUCUGCAGUUCUGUCGCCAGUGUUCUUCCAGCAAGGUUGUGCGCUCCCCACAUUAUGGACGUGAUAUCUGCAAGAUUUUACACUGGCUGUUUUUGGGGAAGUGGAUUGGGUAUCCUGGACCUUGGCAAGAAUGAAGGUGGAUGACUGAAGGCUACACUAUAAGCUCCAUGGACCCUCUGCACGCAGUGACCUGGCACAUGCAAAGAUCUUAGGUAUGCAAAGCCGCAAAAUCCUGUUGGUAUAUUCUGGUAAGGUAUACCAGCAUUUCUGAUGUGCUUGUUGCUUCAGGAUUAUCACAUGUGCAAGGAGUUAGAUUUCCUGGCCUAAGGGACUCUUCAGUGAACUGACACGUGGUUUAGAUAUCGGUGUCACUUUUUUUUAUUCCUGUAGAUUCCAAAGUUGUAGCAAAAACUGCCAUCAAAACUAUGGUAAAACAUCUGUUCCCUGAGGGGCUGUCAUCUGGCUCUAACUCCAGGUCCAUGCUUGUAGAUGGCAGCAUGUGCAUCAGGCUGUUCAGUGAUGAGUAUGCAUAGUCCGUGUUUCACCUGAGAUCUGUGAUUAUAAUUUAUGCUCUGAGCAACGCCUAUAUUCCCA